UGGGGAAUAUUGCACAAUGGUGGGAACUCUGAUGCAGCGACGCCGCGUGAGUGAUGAAGGAAUUCGUUUCGUAAAACUCUGUUCUAUGGGAAGAAAAGGACUGUACCAUAGGAGAAAGCUCCGGAUAAAUACGUGCCAGCAGCCGCGGUAAUACGUAUGGAGCGAGCGUUGUCCGGAAUUAUUGGGCGUAAAGGGUGCGCAGGCGGCUUUACAAGUUGGAUGUGAAAUAUUGUUGCUCAACCACAAACGUGCAUCCAAAACUGCAAAGCUUGAGUUAAGGAGAGGUAAGUUGAAUUCCUGGUGUAGCGGUGGAAUGCGUAGAUCUCAGGAGGAAUACCGGUGGCGAAGGCGACUUACUGUACUUAAACUGACGCUCAGGCACGGAAGCGUGGGGAGCAAACAGU
rnacentral:rRNA from 1 species